rnacentral:tRNA from 1 species
GGGAAUGUAACUUAAUGGUACAGUGCUUGCCUAGUAUGCAUGAAGUCUGGGUUUGAUUCCUCAAUACCA